AGGCAGCAGUGGGGAAUAUUGCACAAUGGGCGAAAGCCUGGUGCAGCGACGCCGCGUGAGGGAUGAAGGCCUUCGGGUUGUAAACCUCUUUCAGCAGGGAAGAAGCAGCUGGGUUUUCUCAGGUGUGACGGUACCUGCAGAAGAAGCACCGGCUAACUACGUGCCAGCAGCCGCGGUAAUACGUAGGGUGCAAGCGUUGUCCGGAAUUAUUGGGCGUAAAGAGCUUGUAGGUGGUUUGUCGCGUCUGUUGUGAAAUUUCGGGGCUCAACCCCGAACUUGCAGUGGAUACGGGCAGACUAGAGUGUGGUAGGGGAGACUGGAAUUCCUGGUGUAGCGGUGAAAUGCGCAGAUAUCAGGAGGAACACCGAUGGCGAAGGCAGGUCUCUGGGCCAUUACUGACACUGAGAAGCGAAAGCAUGGGGAGCGAACAGGAUUAGAUACCCUGGUAG
rnacentral:rRNA from 1 species